rnacentral:rRNA from 1 species
AACGAACGCUGGCGGCAGGCUUAACACAUGCAAGUCGAACGCCCCGCAAGGGGAGUGGCAGACGGGUGAGUAACGCGUGGGAACGUACCUUUCAGUUCGGAAUAACUCAGGGAAACUUGUGCUAAUACCGGAUACGUCCGUAAGGAGAAAGAUUUAUCGCUGGAAGAUCGGCCCGCGUUGGCUUAGCUAGUUGGUGGGGUAAUGGCCUACCAAGGCGACGAUCCAUAGCUGGUCUGAGAGGAUGAUCAGCCACACUGGGACUGAGACACGGCCCAGACUCCUACGGGAGGCAGCAGUGGGGAAUAUUGGACAAUGGGCGAAAGCCUGAUCCAGCCAUGCCGCGUGAGUGAUGAAGGCCCUAGGGUUGUAAAGCUCUUUCACCGAUGAAGAUAAUGACGGUAGUCGGAGAAGAAGCCCCGGCUAACUUCGUGCCAGCCGCCGCCGUAA